GGAUCCUUGGUCUAGUGGUUAGGACUACUGCUUUACAACAGCUGUUGUUCGCAGUCGAUCGCCGGUUCAAUCCCGGCAGGAUUCA